UCGGCUCCCGUGGGUUACGCUCUAUACCCUUUGUGACAUACCUAUAACUGUUGCUUCGGCGGGUAGGGUCUCCGCGACCCUCCCGGCCUCCCGCCUCCGGGCGGGUCGGCGCCCGCCGGAGGAUAACCAAACUCUGAUUUAACGACGUUUCUUCUGAGUGGUACAAGCAAAUAAUCAAAACUUUUAACAACGGAUCUCUUGGUUCUGGCAUCGAUGAAGAACGCAGCGAAAUGCGAUAAGUAAUGUGAAUUGCAGAAUUCAGUGAAUCAUCGAAUCUUUGAACGCACAUUGCGCCCGCCAGCAUUCUGGCGGGCAUGCCUGUUCGAGCGUCAUUUCAACCCUCAAGCUCUGCUUGGUGUUGGGGCCCUACAGCUGAUGUAGGCCCUCAAAGGUAGUGGCGGACCCUCCCGGAGCCUCCUUUGCGUAGUAACUUUACGUCUCGCACUGGGAUCCGGAGGGACUCUUGCCGUAAAACCCCCCAAUUUUCCAAAGGUUGACCUCGGAUCAGGUAGGAAUACCCGCUGAACUUAAGCAUAUCAAUAAGCGGAGGAA
rnacentral:rRNA from 1 species